CCCAGGUGCUGAGGUUAUAGGCAUGAACCACUUAUCUGGCUCAGAUACUUGAUUUUAAAUAUUAUUAUGCUCUGUGUGCUCACUGUAAGGACAGACCAACAGGGUUAUUUACCUACUUUUGAACCACCUCACUUCAAUACGGGUGAUUAUUACAGAUGUGGAGGAGAAAGGAGGAGAAAUUGUGGUAACUUAAAUGAGAAUAGUAAAAGGAUUAUUGAAGUUAAUCAGGUCAGAGGUCUCAGAGGACUUAGCAGUGUUGUGGCUAUUGAGAAAUGAAACACAGACCCUUAGUUAUCUUAUGGCU
ensembl:snoRNA